rnacentral:rRNA from 1 species
AACGAACGCUGGCGGCAUGCCUAACACAUGCAAGUCGAACGAGGCCUUCGGGUCUAGUGGCGCACGGGUGCGUAACGCGUGGGAACCUGCCCUUAGGUUCGGAAUAAAUCCCCGAAAGGGGUGCUAAUACCGGAUAAUGUCUUCGGACCAAAGAUUUAUCGCCUUUGGAUGGGCCCGCGUUGGAUUAGCUAGUUGGUAGGGUAAAAGCCUACCAAGGCGACGAUCCAUAGCUGGUCUGAGAGGAUGAUCAGCCACACUGGGACUGAGACACGGCCCAGACUCCUACGGGAGGCAGCAGUGGGGAAUAUUGGACAAUGGGCGAAAGCCUGAUCCAGCAAUGCCGCGUGAGUGAUGAAGGCCUUAGGGUUGUAAAGCUCUUUUACCCGGGAUGAUAAUGACAGUACCGGGAGAAUAAGCUCCGGCUAACUCCGUG